rnacentral:lncRNA from 1 species
CAUACAUUCAUUCAAUGAGCAUUAUAUUUACUGAAUAUUUACUAUGUUUUAAUCUUUUGAAGGCAGCUGUUAUACAUUAAUAAGCCAAAGAGCUAUGCAUCUUAUCUUGUGAAGGUUUUGGUUUGGAGAGAAAUCUGAUAGGAAGCAAGCAAGUAUAAAAGGAAAUAUACCUGUAUAUGUUAUAAUAAGAGCUGUGAAAGACAUAAAUAAGCCAUGGAACAACCCUGGAAGGGACCUUGAAAGAAACAUCAGAACUUAGGUUGGUAAGGUGGAAAAUUAUUUCACGUGUAAGGGAUAUUUAAACAGACUUCUGAAGGAGUCUAGGGAGCUAACCAUGCAUGAAGAGUAGGGAAAACUAUUUUAGGCAGAGGGUAUUACAGUCCUUGAUGUAGGAAAGAACUGUGUGUGUUUAAAGAAGCAAAAAGAAACAUUUAAGAUGCUAAAGAAUAUUGAAUAAUGAAGAGAGUUACCUCAAAUGCGGAUGGAGAACUAGCCUGUCACUGCGGAGCCGGUCUUUCACUCUGUCAGAUCCAGCAUCUAUUCUAGUCGUAGGAUAUUAGGUAAGUCACUUAGACCUUUUGAUCCCCGGUAUCCUCAUCUGUGUAAUAGGGAUCAUAAUACUGUCCUGAG